UACAAUGGUCGGUACAAAGGGUUGCUACCUAGCGAUAGGAUGCUAAUCUCAAAAAGCCGAUCGUAGUCCGGAUUGGAGUCUGCAACUCGACUCCAUGAAGUCGGAAUCGCUAGUAAUCGCGAAUCAGCAUGUCGCGGUGAAUACGUUCCCGGGCCUUGUACACACCGCCCGUCACACCAUGAGAGUUGGCAAUACCCGAAGUCCGUGGGGCAACCAGCAAUGGAGCCAGCGGCCGAAGGUAGG
rnacentral:rRNA from 1 species